rnacentral:rRNA from 1 species
GACGAACGCUGGCGGCGUGCCUAAUACAUGCAAGUUGAGCGCUGAAGGUUGGUACUUGUACCAACUGGAUGAGCAGCGAACGGGUGAGUAACGCGUGGGGAAUCUGCCUUUGAGCGGGGGACAACAUUUGGAAACGAAUGCUAAUACCGCAUAAAAACUUUAAACACAAGUUUUAAGUUUGAAAGAUGCAAUUGCAUCACUCAAAGAUGAUCCCGCGUUGUAUUAGCUAGUUGGUGAGGUAAAGGCUCACCAAGGCGAUGAUACAUAGCCGACCUGAGAGGGUGAUCGGCCACAUUGGGACUGAGACACGGCCCAAACUCCUACGGGAGGCAGCAGUAGGGCAUCUUCGGCAAUGGACGAAAGUCUGACCGAGCAACGCCGCGUGAGUGAAGAAGGUUUUCGGAUCGUAAAACUCUGUUGGUAGAGAAGAACGUUGGUGAGAGUGGAAAGCUCAUCAAGUGACGGUAACUACCCAGAAAGGGACGGCUAACUACGUG